AGCAGCCGCGGUAAUUCCAGCUCCAAUAGCGUAUAUUAAAGUUGUUGCAGUUAAAAAGCUCGUAGUUGAAUUUCGGGAUCAAGUCGUCGGUCGUGCUCAGGUACGUACUGGCGUCAUUGAUUUCUCCCUUCUGACGAACCAUGAUGUCAUUAAUUUGGUGUUAUGGGAAAUCAGGACUGUUACUUUGAAAAAAUUAGAGUGUUUAAAGCAGGCUCACGCUUGAAUACAUUAGCAUGGAAUAAUGAAAUAGGACGUUCGAUCCUAUUUUGUUGGUUUUAGGAUCAACGUAAUGAUUAAUAGGGAUAGUUGGGGGCAUUAGUAUUCAAUUGUCAGAGGUGAAAUUCUUGGAUUUAUUGAAGACUAACUACUGCGAAAGCAUUUGCCAAGGAUGUUUUCAUUAAUCAAGAACGAAAGUUAGGGGAUCGAAGACGAUCAGAUACCGUCGUAGUCUUAACCAUAAACUAUGCCGACUAGGGAUCGGAUGAUGUUAAUUUUUAAUGUACUCA
rnacentral:rRNA from 1 species